AGAAAAGGAUGCAAAACCCCAACUCGACCCAGAGAAAGUUAAGAGUAUAUGUGAGCAUCAUUUCGAUGCACAUGUUUAAGAUGCCCAAACAUUGAUUCAAAGAAGCCAUCAAUGCUGGCUGCUCUGGAAAAGAAGAAGAACAAAGAUGUCCAACAAAUUAUUGGUCUAUUAGAGGAUUGUCACCCGAACUAGAAAAAGGAUGACAGUGGUGUUGAAAUUUAGACCAUUGUAAAAAAAGAACAUUCCCGAAGUUGCUAUUAACUGGAUCUCUUGGUGACAUCCAUUCACUAGACCUUUUGGCUGAAGGCAUGGUAGCAAUAAAGUUUAAGCAGUUUUCCAUCUUAAAUGCUGUUGUGUGUUUGCUGACUGCAUUGUAUGUAUCCAACGCAGAGAACCCUAAAGAUGGAGGUGGGUAGACAAAGAAUGUGUUCCUUCUUCUGGACCAGAUAUUACUACAAACAGACGGAAAAACGAACAUUCCAAUUGGAGUUAAAAACUUUUUACCGCAGCUUUGAGAACCUGGAAAUGACUUAAGUAUAGAUAGAUGAAUCCUAGUAAGAUAAGUGUUUGAAUGUAGUAAUUUGUAUAUAUGUAUGCAAAUAACCAUUAGGAUAAUUUAUUUAUUAUAUUAGAUCUUUUAUAAUAUAUAUGUGUGUUUUGACAAAAUUUGAUUUGAAGUGCUCUGAAUUUCAGGAUAAUUUAACCAAUCUUUAAUUGGUUGAAAUAAUUGGUCAAAAAAACCAUUGCACAUUGGUUACAUUAAUUAAAUUCAAUAUAGGUUACAUCAACCUAUUAAAUAUUGGUAGAUUCAACCAAUAUUAAUAUUGGUAAUUUUAACCAAAAUGAAUUUGGUAAUAAAAUAACCAAAUUUUAAUUGGUUGUCCUGGUUGCAUCCAGGAGAACCUUUUUUUUUUGGUUGUUUCAACC
rnacentral:lncRNA from 1 species